rnacentral:sRNA from 1 species
GAGUGCAGUGUUGUUUACAACUAAUUGAUCACAGUUAUAGAUUCCUUUGUUCCUUCUUCCUUCCCACUGCUUCACUU